rnacentral:rRNA from 1 species
AAUAUUUGUAUUUAAUUGAUUUAAAUUUUAAUUAUUAUUUUAGUUUUUUUUGUUUUAGUAUUUAUUGAAAUAAAUUUUUGUUAUUAAGGACUGAUUAGGUUAAAUUUUUAAUAUUGUUAAAAAAUUUUUUAGUACCUUUUGUAUCAGGGUUAAUUAAAUAUUAAAUAUAUAAUUUAUUUCCCGAAUUGGAAAUAUUUAAUAUAAUAUUAAUUUAUUUGUGUCAAAACAUUUUUUAAUUUAAUUUUAGUAAUGAAAAGUUAUUCGUUUUUCAACUAUAUCUGGUUUUCAGAUAAAAAAUUUAAUUUUGGAUUUAUUGUUAAUAAUUAAUUUUUUUUUAGGUCUUAAUUGUUUAUGGAUAAGCAUAAAUUAUUUUUACAAUAUUUAUUAUAUUAAUUUUUAUAAGUUUUAAUAUCUUUCAUUGAGUUCAUAAUAGAUUAAAAUUUUUAUUUAUAAUUUUAUAGUAUUUAUUUUAAAAUUUGAUUAAUUUAUAAAAUAUUUUUAUAUUUAAAAUAAUGAUUAAAUUAGUAUAAUUUAUAUAUAAUUAUUAAUGAAUUCAACAAAUAUUAUUUUCAACUGUUUAACAAAAACAUUUCUUUUAGAUUUUGAAUUAAAAGUAUUUUCUGCCCAAUGAUUAAAUUUUAAAUGGCUGCAGUAUUUUGACUGUGCAAAGGUAGCAUAAUAAUUAGUCUUUUAAUUGAGGACUGGAAUGAAAGGAUAUAUGAGAAACAUAUUUUAUUAUUUUUAUUUUUAAAAUUUUAUUUUUAAGUAAAAAAGCUUAAUUUUUUUUUAGGGACGAAAAGACCCUAUAGAACUUUAUUAUUUAUUAAUUUUGAAAAUUUUAGUUAAUAUAUUAAAUUAAUUAAUUAAAUAAUUUGAUUGGGGGGAUAAGUAAAUAUUUAACUUUAUUUUUUUAAUUCAUUUAAUUUAUGAAUUUUUUGAUCCGUUUUUUUUAUGAUUAAAAGAUUAAGUUACCUUAGGGAUAACAGCGUUAUUUUAGUGGGGAGAUCAUAUCUAUACUAAAGUUUGCGACCUCGAUGUUGAAUUAAGAAAAGUUUAAGGGGUAGUUUCUUUAAAAACUAAGUCUGUUCGACUUUUAAAUUCUUACAUGAUUUGAGUUCAGAUCGGCGUGAGCCAGAUCGGUUUCUAUCUUAAAAAUUUUAUAUUAUUUUAGUACGAAAGGACCAAAUAAUUCUAUAUUUGAUAGUUAUUUAAAAAUAA